UACGUAGGGUGCGAGCGUUGUCCGGAAUUAUUGGGCGUAAAGGGCUCGUAGGCGGUCUGUCACGUCGGGUGUGAAAACUCAGGGCUUAACCCUGAGCCUGCUUCCGAUACGGGCAGACUAGAGGUAUGCAGGGGAGAACGGAAUUCCUGGUGUAGCGGUGAAAUGCGCAGAUAUCAGGAGGAACACCGGUGGCGAAGGCGGUUCUCUGGGCAUUACCUGACGCUGAGGGGCGAAAGCGUGGGGAGCGAACAGG
rnacentral:rRNA from 1 species